rnacentral:rRNA from 1 species
CCCGCUGAACUUAAGCAUAUCAAUAAGCGGAGGAAAAGAAACUAACAAGGAUUCCCCUAGUAACUGCGAGUGAAGAGGGAAAAGCUCAAAUUUAGAAUCUGGCGGCUUUGCCGUCCGAGUUGUAAAUUAGAGAAGUGUUUUCCAUGUAGGCGCCGUCGCAUCAAGUCUCUUGGAAAAGAGCAUCAGAGAGGGUGACAAUCCCGUCUUUGCGACUGGUGUCUGCUGUUGUGAUACACUCUCAACGAGUCGAGUUGUUUGGGAAUGCAGCUCCAAAUGGGUGGUAAAUUCCAUCUAAAGCUAAAUAUUGGCGAGAAACCGAUAGCGAACAAGUACCGUGAGGGAAAGAUGAAAAGAACUUUGAAAAGAGAGUUAAACAGUAUGUGAAAUUGUUGAAAGGGAAACGCUUGAAGUCAGUCUUGUUCUGCAGAAAUCAGCCUGACUCCGGUUUGGUGGACUUUCUGUCGAACAGGUCAGCAUCAGUUUUGACCGUUGGAGAAAGGCUUGGGAAAUGUGGCAUCUUCGGAUGUGUUAUAGUCUUGAGUUGAAUACAAUGGUUGGGACUGAGGAACUCAGUGUGACCUCGUGUUUGAGGGCCUUUGCUCUACAUGACGCACUUAGGAUGCUGACUUAAUGGCUUUAAUCGACCCGUCUUGAAACACGG